UACGUAGGGUGCGAGCGUUAAUCGGAAUUACUGGGCGUAAAGCGUGCGCAGGCGGUUUGCUAAGACCGAUGUGAAAUCCCCGGGCUUAACCUGGGAACCGCAUUGGUGACUGGCAGGCUAGAGUAUGGCAGAGGGGGGUAGAAUUCCACGUGUAGCAGUGAAAUGCGUAGAGAUGUGGAGGAAUACCGAUGGCGAAGGCAGCCCCCUGGGCCAAUACUGACGCUCAUGCACGAAAGCGUGGGGAGCAAACAGG
rnacentral:rRNA from 1 species